rnacentral:rRNA from 1 species
UACGGAGGGUGCGAGCGUUAAUCGGAAUUACUGGGCGUAAAGCGCGCGUAGGCGGCCUGUUAAGUCGAACGUGAAAUCCCCGGGCUCAACCCGGGAACUGCGUCCGAUACUGGCAGGCUUGAAUCCGGGAGAGGGAUGCGGAAUUCCAGGUGUAGCGGUGAAAUGCGUAGAUAUCUGGAGGAACACCGGUGGCGAAGGCGGCAUCCUGGACCGGCAUUGACGCUGAGGCGCGAAAGCCAGGGGAGCAAACGGG